UAGCCGUAAACGAUACUCGCUAGGUGUCGGCCACGGUGCGACCGUUGUCGGCGCCGUAGGGAAGCCGUGAAGCGAGCCACCUGGGAAGUACGGCCGCAAGGCUGAAACUUAAAGGAAUUGGCGGGGGGGCGACAACAACGGGUGGAGCUUGCGGUUUAAUUGGAUUCAACGCCGGAAAUCUUACCGGGACCGACAGCAACAUGAAGGCCAAGCUGAAGACUUUGCCGGAUUAGCUGAGAGGAGGUGCAUGGCGUAGUCGUGU
rnacentral:rRNA from 1 species